UGCUCCUCCGGCGCCUCCUCCGGCCCUGGCACCGGCCCCGGCCGCUCUCCCUGCCUCGCCAGAACACGAAAACCCUCCCCCGCCGAUGCCGGAGACACUCGUCUUUCUAUCUGCAGCAUCAGCGAGAAAGCCCAGCUCGGCGCAGGCUCAGUGCUCACCGCCGCAGUCCCGGACGGAGGAGGGGGGUUCGGGAGCGCAGCAUCUUCGCAGCGGGUUAAGUAGGAUUAGUACCAAAUCCCUAUUAUAUUUGCCAAGCAACUUGAAUUUAUCAAAAUUCCCCCUCGCUGUUCUGGAGCUCCGUGAGGAGGAAAUUUUGCUCACAGUGUAAGAUCCACACAUGCCAGUUCGUAGGAAUAGCAGCAUACUGCAUUUCACUGGCUCCCUGCGCAGGAAAUGCAACUGCGAACGGCAGCUCCCGCUGUUCCCGUCCUUUGUGUUUUUAAACGCAGCCAGGAAACUUAAUGUAUUCGCCAGGGAAGGGGCGGGAUGAGAGCUUUUUUAACCUCCCCGCCAUAAACUUUAAUGGGAUUCCGGGCUGUUGCACGGCAUGGACGCUCGCCUCUUGCCUGCGUCUCCUUCCCCGUUGUUCCUACUACGGUCUGCUCGCGAGUGCCUCUUUCAAGCGAAUGAGUGAUUUCUUUCUCUUGCCAUGUGCAAUUGCUCCCCCUUCCCUUCCUACCCUCGCUGGCCUCUCUUACACACACUAUGCCUUUCACACGCGGUCUGCGGCCCCCAGUCCCCCCCCCUCCUUUCUUUCUUUUUUGCAGUGUCUUCACAUGCAAUCUCUCUCUGAAUGUGCAAUGUCUUUCCUGCUCGGGAGUGCUGCGUCCUUCACAGUGGAUUGGUUCCUCUUUCGGAGCAGAGGAGAGCAUAAAAGAUCUGGCAUGUCUUCAUGAUUGUACUGUGUCAGCUGCCUGUUGAGCAGAAGAUAAAAUACUCAAGCAAGAUGGCAACUCUGAGAAGUUCUGAAGAAGAACCUUUGAUAUUAUAAUUCAAGCACUGUUACGGAUAAUUGAAUGUUGUGCAGCUCUAUUCCUUUCUAAACUACAAUACUCUCAUAUUCCAUGACCUCUCUUCUGGGACAUAACAAUAUUAGCAGAUAGCUUCCAUGUUUGAACACAGAAGGAUGAAAAUCAGAUCUGAACAGAGAGAAAAAGAUGAAGAAAUGCUAUUGACUGUUCCAGGCUAUCAUGAUUGCAGUAUUAAAAAUGGGAAGGCACUAUGGAGACUGAGGUAAAAAAAAAUCCAUAGAGUUUUUACAUAUCCAAGCCCAACUCUCACUGACAUAAGGUGUGUCUGAAAAUGUUCUCUUCAGCCAAACAGUCUCAUGGUUUCAGAUGGCAGUAGAAAACUCCCUACUUUUCCAUCUUAAGACAAAAGACCUUACAAAGGACCCUAAUAAAGUCAAAGGAAGAAAAAACAUCCAAAUCAUCUCCGUUUCACAAUUUUCCAGCAUGCUUCUUAUGGUGAAAGGAACUGAUUUCAAAGGAAAGGAAGAAAGGAAGAAGAAAUGUCUCUUUCAAGCAUUGCUGGAAGGAGUGGCUUAACGUUCUAAACAUAAUGGAAAUGUCUGAAUUUGCUGAGCCAAUGAUUUAACCUGAGUUAGGUUUGAGUGAAAUCUUCUUUGAGAUGUGAGCACUGAUUUCCCUUGAAUUUAAUGAGUGGAUCUUUUGAGAGUAAAUUUUAAACACUGACCAUGUGUUGGCUGUGUGAGGGUGCAGAGCAUUCUGCCUCCACACCCUUCUGCAGAAAUGCUGGGGGAAAGCCAGCAUUAUGUCAAAGCCAUGAAGACUGAAACUUUAUUUUUAAAGCAUUUUUACUUUUUGCUUUCUCACCAUUAUUUCUGGUUUGGCUUGGGGUUUUUUGUUUCCCUUUUUUUCCCGCCCUCCUCUAAGGAAACAGAAAACAUGCCACAGUAGAAUAUGUUUCAGUCCCAUUAUCAGAAAUAUUUAUUGAUUUGUACUCCUCCCCUCAUCUGUUUUUAUUGUCUAAGUAUUGUAAAGUUUUCCUACAAUGAGAGAAAGGAGAUAAAUAAUGUGAUAAAUAUUCAAAUGAUUUUAAAUAUAUUUUGGCAGUAUUUCAGUUAUAUGACUAGUUUCAGGUUGUUGUCAUUUUCAUAUGAAAAAAAUGUUGAAAAGAAAUGAAAGUAACACUAAUUCUUUGGCUAUAGGUAUAAAUAUGUGGUGUUGAGCCUGAUAAUCUUAUUCCUAUGAAAAAGACAGCCUUUAUUAUAAAGCUGAGGUUUUAGUUCAGGUAUAUUUAUUUGAGAGAGGACACUGAUAACAAGGUUGUUGUGUUAGCUAAAAGUAAAUAUAAAACAACAAUAAAAGAUAUAAUUUAUGAGAUAAGUACUCAUGCAUAGAAAUAGUUUCAGAAUCUUCAUUUAGUCCUAUCAUGAUGUCUUUAACAUAUCAUCAUGUUAAAGAUUAUUUCCAGUGACCCUGGAUAUUUAAUAUACACCCUGAUUUUUUAAAGAAAUUCAUUCCAUGAAUGAACUGUGUAUUCAGACUCUUCAGACUGCAUCCUCCAGCUCCCUAUGCUGUGAACAGGAAAAUAAGUUAGAGAAUGAAAAACUCAUCAUGCAGUCAAUAGCAUUUUCUUAUGGUAGUGGUAGUAUUUGGAAGACAGUAGCUUCCUUUGUAAAUAACUUUGAUAUGUAUUUCACUAAAAUGUUAUACAGUAUUAUAUGUAUGACACUGACAGUAUGAAGUUUUUAUGUUCUGAACUGAAGAAAAUUAAACAAUCCACCAACAAGUACAUCUGUGCUGGGAGCAUGUUCUGGGUGAAUAAUGAACUUCUACACCUUUAAAUUUAAAUAUUAGUUUUGAGGAACUACCAGUGUUUGUGCACAGCAUGGAGCAGGCCAGAAUGCAGCAAGCCCUCUGUCUUCUUCUAUGAACCCUGCUGUGCUGCUUCAGGCACAGGAGUGGAUAUUCUAAACAUGAAUGUACUCAGUGUGGAAGAACAGCUAGUAAGAGGGUUCCUGGUCUGGACUAAGGACCUCACUAAUGGUGCCUGUAUUGCUUCUGGUAUGGCUGGUGAUCUACAUCGCUGUCACCAUCCACCCCCAAAGGUCUUAGGGUGCCAGAGGAAGGCUAAGACCCCGUUUAUUCCACAAGAGGUUAUUUUAUGAAAUUGUACCCAAUAUGUGUGUUGUAUGGCUGGCAGUAUGAUGUGAGAACUGUUGGGCAGCAAAGGUCUGGCUUUACAGCGGAGGGCUUGGUGUGUACCAUGCAGGUGUGCAUGUGUGUGACUGUGGUGGUGCAGAUGUGCAGAGAGACCUGUUGUGGUCUUAUUCAUAUUGUCUAUAGGUUUACUUUGGAGUAAAUUAUCCCCACCUGGAGUUUCCCUGAGAGAAAAUUAGCUGUGACAGUUCAAAAGAGAGCCCAGGAGCAAACUGACAUACAAGCAGUGUGAACUGUCAAUGAACUGCAGGGUGAAGUGAAAGGGAGUGCUAAGUUGUUUGACAGCAUGCAAAGGUGACUUAGAUCAAUGUAGCUUGUCAACUGUAUCUGUAUGGCAGCGAUGUCCUGAGGAGACAUACUCUGAAACACCAUUCUCAUAUCUCGAGUUAGCUCUGCAAAGAUUCCUGUACAAAGACAUGCAUACUGUAACUAGGGUUUUUUUUGUGUCUGACUUCUCAUUUUUGAAGAUAUUUUGCUGUCAAUGUCUUUCACAUCUCAUGUAUUUACUCAGCUUUUUAUCCUCAAAAUACUUUACUUUUCAUUUUUCAA